CUCCCAAUGGAAAAUGAAACCAGCACCUGCUUAUUGACCUUAAUUUCUCCACAAUCAUUCAACCAUUGAAGCUUAUAAGGUCUAAGAUGCUUAAUAGUUGGUAAGUUCAACUUUUCAACCAAAACAGUGCUUGCUACAUUAGUGCAACUACCCCCAUCAAUUAUCAUGCUGCAUACCUUGUCUUGGAUAUGACAACAGGUGUGAAA
rnacentral:lncRNA from 1 species